GGGGGUGUACUGGUUUCGACGGGGGUCACAUCUGUUGGGGCAGCCAUUCGUAGGAAGUCUACACUACGUUAAAAGAGGACACUUUAAAUUAAACGCAGAAGACAAUUUUGCACUAGCUGCUUAAUGCAGCUCGUUUCCCUAGGUUAAUCCGCAGACUUAGACGAAACGCCAACUAGCGGAGAACGACUUGUGCUAAGCUUUGCUCACAAGCUGUAUUUAUGAAGCUACUAAAACCAAUAACCUGUCAUUAGGUGAUUGGCAGAGGGAAUGUUAAUAUAAUGAAUAUAAUGGUAGAGACCACACCUUAUGGGCUUUCGGACAGGGGUUCGAUUCCCCUCACCUCCAUAA
rnacentral:tmRNA from 1 species